ACCCGCCUGGCUGCGCGUCCCGGGCCCGGCGGCUGAAGAGGAGCCGCGGCGAGGUAGGGCGGACCCCGGGGAGGCAGCGGCGGGGCCUGGCGGGCGGAGCGGGAAGCAGCCCGAGGCGCGGGUCGGAGGGGGCGGCGGGUGGGAGGUGGUCGGCGAGAGCGGCAGUAGGCGGGAGGGGAGAAAAGGGGAGGCCGGCAGGGGAGAGGCGGGGAGGGGAGGCCGGCAGGGGAGGGAGGGGAGCGGAGCGGAGGGGAGGGGAGGGGGGACCGGGAGAGGAGGGGGCAGCGCUGCCCGCGGCGGGGUGGGCGGCGGUGGGUGGUCUCCGCUCCGCCUCCGGGAGGCCGCGUGGGGGGCGUGGGGGCCUCCUCGCGGGGUCUCCACAGGCCCUCCCCCGGGACGCGGCAACCCCGGCCGGAAGACAAUGAGCCGCCCGCGCCGCGCCCGCAGUCACCGCCCCCGCCGAGGGUCCCGCCGCCCCAGCCGGCACGGAAGCAGGAGCAGAAGCCGAAGCCAAGCGCGCGGGGCCAGGGCGGGGGCUCCUCCCGGGGUUGCUCCGCUUGGCUCUCGGCGGUCGCGGGGAUCGGCUGUCCGGAGCGAACGGGGGUCUCUCCUGGACUCGGGGCCCUGGGGAGGGGAGCGCGGCCCUUGGUCCUCCGCCGCUGCGCCCGGGGUGCGGGGGUGUCCUGGCUGCUGACCCCCGCGAGCCCCGAGCACCGCGACCCACCCGCCCCACCGCGCCGCGGCUCCCGAGUCCUGCCGGGCGCCCCUUGCAGCCCCCGCCCCAUGUGCUGGGGAGACCCCCGGGCGGUCUGGGCGGGAUUCCGCAGGGGUCCCUCCUCUCAGGCGGGGCUCAUUCUGGAGCAUGAAAAGAGGGUGAACCAAAGUCCCUCCACCUCUUUAGAGUCCUACAAAACCACGUUUCCCCCUCCACCCACUCCAGUGUCUAUUCUAAGGAAAAGAAAAGGAACAAAUCAGUGCAGCGAGCUUUAUUCUACUCAGCCCACGAAAGGCGCCGCCGUCAGAUUUUAAAGUUCCAGCCAUCCCCUCAGGCCCUGAGUAGCAACCUUGGCAGUGGGAGCCCAGCAGGUCCCGUCUUUGUCCCUGUGCUGAUACAGAGAGACUCUCCGUGCUGUGGACGCCUCCAUCUGGGCACAUGUUUCAGUUGUUUUCUAAAUACCAAGAGCACAGAUUGCUCAGUAAUAAUAGCUCUCCUGCAAAUCUGGAAUCACUUAGGCAGCUGCAGUGCCUCUAAGCCUCCUUGCAUCCAAGGCUGUGAUCAAGGAGGACUGGUGUCUGAGUGGGCUUGAGAAGGGCCCGGAGAACAGCGGGUUUCCUGAUCACAAAUCAGCCUGUCAUUCAGCAUGUGUUCCCUUGGUGACUCAGGGCGAUAUCUGCCCUUCUCCGGAGGUCAAGGGCUCAUCGUGUCAAUUGUGGUCUUGAGUUUGUUUUUUUUUUCCUCUUGAAAUCAUUGUAAUUAAGCUAAAAGUAUAGUGUUGGUAUCCAGCACAUGUUUGCAAAGUAUUUAACAAUGAGCAAAAACUUUAAGAAUAAAUUAAAGCAUCUAGUUUACUUUUUGCCAACAGCCAGGUUCCUGCUAGAAAUGAUUUUGAAAUAAAUGUUGUCUUGGAAAUAGAAACCGU
rnacentral:lncRNA from 1 species